AGAGCGAACGUUAGCGGCGCGCCUAACACAUGCAAGUCGCACGAGAAAGGGCUUCGGCCCCGGUACAGUGGCGCACGGGUGAGUAGCACGUGGGUAACCUUCCCAAUCGUGGUGGAUAACCUGCCGAAAGGCGGGCUAAUACAGCAUGUGGCCCUUGAUCUUCGGUUCGGGGGUGAAAGCAGGCCUCUGUUUACAAGCUUGCGCGAUUGGAUGGGCCCGCGCCCCAUCAGCUAGUUGGCGAGGUAACGGCUCACCAAGGCAAUGACGGGUAGCUGGUCUGAGAGGAUGGCCAGCCACACUGGAACUGAGACACGGUCCAGACUCCUACGGGAGGCAGCAGUGGGGAAUCUUGCGCAAUGGGCGCAAGCCUGACGCAGCGACGCCGCGUGGGCGACGAAGGCCUUCGGGUUGUAAAGCCCUGUGGGGCGGGACGAACCUCAGCCGAGACAACACCUCGGUUGACUGACGGUACCGCCUUAGCAAGCACCGGCUAACUCUGUGCCAGCAGCCGCGGUAAGACAGAGGGUGCAAACGUUGCUCGGAAUUACUGGGCGUAAAGCGCGUGUAGGUGGCUUCGCGAGUCCGAUGUGAAAGCCCAGGGCUCAACCCUGGAAGUGCAUUGGAUACUACGGAGCUAGAGGCCUGGAGAGGUAGGCGGAAUUCCCGGUGUAGAGGUGAAAUUCGUAGAUAUCAGGAGGAACACCAGUGGCGAAGGCGGCUUACUGGACAGGACCUGACACUGAGACGCGAAAGCGUGGGUAGCAAACAGGAUUAGAUACCCUGGUAGUCCACGCCGUAAACGAUGGGUGCUGGGUGUCGCGGGUAUUGACCCCCGCGGUGCCGAAGCCAACGCGUUAAGCACCCCGCCUGGGAAGUACGGCCGCAAGGCUAAAACUC
rnacentral:rRNA from 1 species